rnacentral:rRNA from 1 species
CCUUGUACACACUGCCCGUCACACCACGAGAGUUUGUAACACCCGAAGUCGGUGGAGUAACCGUAAGGAGCUAGUCGCCUAAGGUGGGACAGAUGAUUGGGGUG